UUACAGCACAUAACAGUCCACCAAAAAGCAAAAGCAGAUCCUGCACUGCACUCCCACAAUGAAGCAACUUUAUUUCAAAGCCCCUUCUGUUCUCCAGAGGUUUAUAAGCCUAAGGAGUACCAGGAGAUUGUGACCCACCUGCUGAGUCAUAAGUUUAAUUCAGCGCAAAGGCUAUAUAAUAUACCCUUGUAGACUCUGAUGUGAUGGAAAGAUAAGACAUUUCCAUGGUUGUUAUUGUCCACAAAUAUUUGUGAACAAAAGUGUAGUCUUAAAACACCUUGAUGCCCAUUUCACUGCACCAUUAGUAGGUCCACAAGGACGCGCACCACCUCACCCAGUGGGAGCCGACCACGGUGUUGAAUAUAAGUGCUGCACUGCCAUUUCACAAAGCUCAGUUAAUCAGGACCAUUCGUACGCCCUGUCACCAUCACUUGACAGCCUGAAGGGAAACCCGGUGCGAGCAGAGGCUCAGGUGGAGAAGCUGGAGCAGCAGUUUGAAAAGUCUAAUCACAAAGAUCUUAAAAAAUAAGCUGGAGUUGUAUUCAGCAAUUCUGAUGGAAACAGAAACAUUUCCAUCAGGAGAACUGCAGGACUACCUUCAGUGUCCUCCACAUCAACACCCUUUCCUUGGACUUGCUUUUGGGUGUCAAACCAGCACUCCCGUCUACACCCCGACAAAUAUAUAGAUUCCGGCUUCUGUCAUUGUGCAGCUCUGCCAGUUUAAAUGAAUUGUAUAGGCACUCUGGUCUGUUCAGGGCUGGCUGCCAUCCAUCACAGUCCAAAACUGUUGUGGGUACUGGUUGGCAACCUCCCAGACCAUCUUAUAAUGGAACCUCCUGAAAGUAGAACUCUAUCUGCCACAGCCAAGUGAUACAUACGUGUCCUGUUAGCCUUCCCCAGUUGCUGUAGUCCUCAGCAUUGAGGCGGAUUUUUCAUUCAGCUUCUGAAGUGUUGCAAGGAUCACAUCAUCCUCUACAAAGUAGCUGGACUCCAUGAGCUGACCCAGCACUUAGUCUCCAUGCAAACACUGAACAGUGUCAGAGCCAGAACACAUCCCUAAUGAACACCAGUGUACACUGUGAAGAAGUCAGAGACUGUGCACUGCACUCACGGCACCUGUGUAUAGGUUGGCUCUGAUGUCCAGCAGGUUAUUGGGGAUCCUACAAGAUCUCAGUAUGUCCCAGAGAGUAACAGCCUCAUUAACCCAAUCAAAGGCCCUGGGAAAUUCAACAGCUGCAAACUAGAGCACCUCGCUCGUAGUGUGCAAACCUCCGCCGCACUAUUUUCCAAUUCCACAAAUUUUUACCUUGGAAAAAAGUUUCAAGGUCAAAGUCCUGUUAGAAGUGGCUUU